rnacentral:rRNA from 1 species
CAGAGGGUGCGAGCGUUGUCCGGAAUCACUGGGCGUAAAGGGCGCGUAGGUGGCGCCCCAAGUCGAUGGUGAAAGCUCGCCGCUUAACGGCGAGUCGGCCACCGAUACUGGGGGGCUCGAGCACUGUAGAGGCAGAUGGAAUUCCGGGUGUAGCGGUGGAAUGCGUAGAGAUCCGGAAGAACACCGGUGGCGAAGGCGGUCUGCUGGGCAGUAGCUGACACUGAGGCGCGACAGCGUGGGGAGCAAACAGGAUUAGAUACCCUGGUAGUCCACGCCGUAAACGAUGGGCACUAGAUGCUUGGGGGAGCGACCCCCUGAGUGUCGUCGCUAACGCAUUAAGUGCCCCGCCUGGGGAGUACGGCCGCAAGGCUG